UCGGAUCUGCGGAAGAACAAGAAGAAGAAGAAAUGUUGCUUCAAAUUUAGGAAGAACAAGAAGAAGAAAUGUUGCUUCGAAUUUGUGAAGAAAAGAAAUGAAAACAAGAAGAAAAAGAAUAGGAAAAACAAGGAUAUCUGUAAUUUUGAAUCUUGUUGUAGCUUUGAAUUUGCAGAAGGACAAGAAGAACUAAUGUAGCUUCAAAUCUGGGAGGAGAAAGGAACAAGAACAAGAAAAAAGAGGAAUAAGAACUGUAGCUUCAGAUCUGGGAAAAGAACAAGGACAAGAACAAGAACAAUUAACUUAGAAUCUGAGAAGAACAAAAACAAGAAUCUGAAGAACAUGGAUGAGAACAACUGUAGCUUCAAAUCUGGGGAGAACAAGAACAAGGACAACUGUAGCUUCAAAUCUGAGAAAAACAAGAAAUAACAGGAAGAACAAGAAACAAGAAGAAAAGGACAGCAAGCUUCAAAUCUAGAGAAGAACAAGAACAAGAACAGGAAAAAUAAGGACAGCUGUAACUCUGAAUGUGAGGAAAAUAGUGAAGACUGGCCAUUAAUCUUGUGACCGCCAUAGACCCUUGUUAAUGUCAAUAUAAUGGUCUAAUGGUACACAAAUCUCAAGCUUCUGAAUCUCGUCCCAGUGGAUUGAAGGCUCGAAAUCGGAAAUGAAGCGAGCAAACAGUUUCUCAAAGCCUUCAAACUCCUUCCGUGUGGCGUCCCUGAUUGCAGGAGGUGAGGUGAGCAGCAGGCGGUCUAGUUCCUGGCUAAGCUGGACCCUUGCCUCCACCUUGGUCUGUUGCUUGAAGGCGUCCAUGGAGGGCCGACGCUGUGGUUCUCCCUGGGGUUAGAGAGCCUGGCGAGCAUAAGCAACCGGCGCAGGGAGAGAGACAGUGUGGGAGCAGCUGGCGUGGAGGUGACACAAGCCAUAGGUAACAGUCUGCAGGUCCCGGAGACACAGCUGGUUGUCGUCACACACCACGUGGUACUUGAUGAGAGAGAAGGAAGAAGCCCCUGGUGGAUGGAUGGAUGAUGCCGCCCUCCACCACAGUGCCGGGCGGAACAUUGCCGGCACCUCCACCUGGGCCCUGGAACAACCUGCAAUGCCACACACACUUCAGGUCAGGGGCGGCCGGUACUCCCCAUCACUCUGCAUAGCUCUACACGCCCUCCUGAUCUCCGCAGCCUCCCAGGAAGUGACGCGCUCCACCUCCUCCUGCGGCAGGUCAAGGCGAUACACCAGCAGCGACUG